UGACCAGAGAAGUCCAUCACAAGGGAGGUGAUAGAGAAACUCAAUUUUACUAUGGACAUAUUUAAUGUGAUCCUGCCUUUCCCUUGCUAGAUAGGACGGCGGGGAAGAAAAGUUGAUAGACAAUAGGAGAGAGGUUUGCACAAAAACGGAUAAAAUCAUUGAGGCACUUGCAACUGGUUUGUAGUUUUUUGUAGAACUGGAAUAUUUGACCUCACGUUAGAAAUGCUGUUAAGCCACAUUUCACAAACACAGUCUCACAUGUCUAUAUGAACUCAGUUCUGCCCCUAGAGCUCCAGCAGAUUUAUGACCAGCUGAGAUGUGAUCACCAAGCAUCAGUAACUGACACUGAAACCUUCCCAGACCUAGGACGUGGUUCCCACCCUUCCUAAUGCUGCAACCCUUUAAAACAGUUCUUCAUGAUGUGGUGAAGCCCCCCCAACUAUAAAAUAAUUUUGUUGCUACUUCAUAACUGUCAUUUUGCUACUGUUACAAGUUGUGAUAUACAUAACUGAUAUGCAGAGUAGCUGAUAUGGGACCCCUGCGAAAGGGACAGUUGAUCCCCCACAAAAAGGGUCGUGACCCACAGGUUGAGAAUCCCUGACCUUGGACAAACAUUGAAGCAUCACAGGGCAAGAAUGCCUUUUAGAUGAGCUGGUGAUUUAAUGCCACAGCAAGGCUUUGUGUGUCUAGACCGUUUCUGUCACAGCAACCUCAGUGUUGAGAUUCAGAAGUGACAUCUCUGCCUAGCUAGAAUGGAAACCACAGAUUCCAUGCUCUGCUUAGACAUCUGGACAAUCCACUGUAAAAAAAAAAAAAAGCGUAAGUUAGAAGUGAAGACCGACCAUGGGAGAGUUCCUCACACAUAACUUAGUUUUCACCUUCGAUUUCGGUACCAUUUUUAAGAAUGGGUUAGGAUGAUGCAGAACAGACCCCUUUGUAUUGUAAUGAUGAAAUACAAGGUUAACACAUGAAGGAAUGGUGAGUGGUAGUUAUCAAAGGGAUGAGCAGGAUGACCAAACACGUCAGGUGACAACAAUGCCUCUUAUGAUGGUGCCCCUUCCCCCACCCUCAUUGAUGCAUUCAUUUUGGGGAAUGCCAUUGUACGUGCAAAGGCUUUACCCCCUCAAACACAUUGGACAUUUUGUGGUCUUCAGGAGGAAGAGGAGAAGAAGAAGAAGCAGAAGAGGAGGAAGAGGAGGAGGAGGAGGAGGAGGAGGAGGAGGAAAUCUUUACCAAUCAGAGUCACAUCUGUCUUGUGAGAGGCAGCCUUAGCUGUUCUUGGAAAGAAGGUUCUAGAGUGUGAGGGCCACAGAGGCCCAGAAGAAGCCAGCAUUGCAGGGCUGAGCACCGUGUAAAUAUCUCCCGCCUUCUAUGUGAACACGAGUGAUCACCUUCCGCAGAGAUAAUCAUAUGUUCGUUGUGACUUUAGCUUGUGAAAGAAAUGCAAACGUUUGCUUCAACAGCUUCCCAAACGUACCUGUUGAGUAUGGAUGUGCCUGCCUUUUUGCCUCGUGUGCCAAAUGCAAUACUGGAUGCAUUGUUUUUAAAUAAACUGUUUUAUUGUGCAUUGGAA
rnacentral:lncRNA from 1 species